UACGGAGGGUGCAAGCGUUAUCCGGAUUCACUGGGUUUAAAGGGUGCGUAGGCGGAUAGGUAAGUCCGUGGUGAAAUCCUGCAGCUUAACUGCAGAACUGCCAUGGAUACUAUUUAUCUUGAAUGUCGUGGAGGUUAGCAGAAUAUGUCAUGUAGCGGUGAAAUGCUUAGAUAUGACAUAGAAUACCCAUUGCGAAGGCAGCUAACUACGCGAUAAUUGACGCUGAUGCACGAAAAGCGUGGGGAUCAAACAGGA
rnacentral:rRNA from 1 species